UGUGAUUGUCAAUUAUUCAGCUUAUAUAAUUUUGAGUGAUGUGGUUAGGCUAUUGCUGGGCUAUUUGCUUGUCCCGAUGAUGUGGCAUGAUGAUUUUUAGUGCUGAUAAUGUGGCAGGAGGUGUUUGUGACUGAGUUAUGGCUGAACUAUUGCUGGGCGAAAGCCAUUGUGAAUGCUUUUAUUCAACCUUAGCCUCCGGGUGGUCGAUCCCUAAUUUUCUUCUUUGAAUUGGGGGAUAAGGAAUUGUGAAUAUUAUUCAAGUAUGCAAACACGAAAUUUGCAAAAGGAAACUGAAUAAUUGUAAAGAGAUGAAUUUGAAACGGUCCCAUGUAGCAAAUGCACGCCUUCACCUCCCAUGCCUUCCUCACCCGGAGCAACAAAUGCACCACCAUUCAAAUAAAAGGAAACCGAUGACACAGCAGUGCAGAUGAGCAUCACCAACGCCGAGCACACACGGCAUAGACAAUCCCAGCAAAACCCCCCCAACACUCCCACUGGAAACUGGACCAAAACCUUCACCAAUGAGCCUAUAGUAGUAUUUGUUAAACUAUAGAAUUCAAUGCUUAGAGGUUAGUCAUGAAAAUAAUGAAUUAAAUUAGAGGUUGGAUGUUGUAUCACAGGGCAAAUAGAAUUCAAUGUUUAUUAUUAUUAUUUUUUAAUUUCAUAGCCAA